GUGGGGAAUAUUGGACAAUGGGCGAAAGCCUGAUCCAGCCAUGCCGCGUGUGUGAAGAAGGUCUUCGGAUUGUAAAGCACUUUAAGUUGGGAGGAAGGGCAGUAAGUUAAUACCUUGCUGUUUUGACGUUACCGACAGAAUAAGCACCGGCUAACUUCGUGCCAGCAGCCGCGGUAAUACGAAGGGUGCAAGCGUUAAUCGGAAUUACUGGGCGUAAAGCGCGCGUAGGUGGUUUUGUAAGUUGGAGGUGAAAUCCCCGGGCUCACCCUGGGAACUGCCUCCAAAACUGCAUGACUAGAGUACGGUAGAGGGUAGUGGAAUUUCCUGUGUAGCGGUGAAAUGCGUAGAUAUAGGAAGGAACACCAGUGGCGAAGGCGACUACCUGGACUGAUACUGACACUGAGGUGAGAAAGCGUGGGGAGCAAACAGGAUUAGAUACCCGUGUAGUCC
rnacentral:rRNA from 1 species